GACGAACGCUGGCGGCGUGCUUAACACAUGCAAGUCGAACGGAAAGGCCCUGCUUGCAGGGUACUCGAGUGGCGAACGGGUGAGUAACACGUGGGUGAUCUGCCCUGCACUUCGGGAUAAGCCUGGGAAACUGGGUCUAAUACCGGAUAGGAGCCAUUUUUAGUGUGAUGGUUGGAAAGUUUUUUCGGUGUAGGAUGAGCUCGCGGCCUAUCAGCUUGUUGGUGGGGUAAUGGCCUACCAAGGCGGCGACGGGUAGCCGGCCUGAGAGGGUGGACGGCCACAUUGGGACUGAGAGGAGGCACAGGCGCGGACGGGAGGCAGAAGGGGGGAAGAUUGCACAAGGGGCGCAAGGCGGAUGAAGAGACGCCGCGGGGGGGAUGACGGCCUUCGGGUUGAAAACUCCUUUCGCUAGGGACGAAGCUUUUUGUGACGGUACCUAGAUAAGAAGCACCGGCUAACUACGUG
rnacentral:rRNA from 1 species